rnacentral:rRNA from 1 species
UACGGAGGGUGCAAGCGUUAUCCGGAUUCACUGGGUUUAAAGGGUGCGUAGGCGGGUAGGUAAGUCAGUGGUGAAAUCUUCGAGCUUAACUCGGAAACUGCCUUUGAUACUAUCUAUCUCGAAUAUUGUGGAGGUAAGCGGAAUAUGUCAUGUAGCGGUGAAAUGCUUAGAUAUGACAUAGAACACCUAUUGCGAGGGCAGCUUACUACGCAUAUAUUGACGCUGAGGCACGAAAGCGUGGGGAUCAAACAGG